UCUCUUCAUGUGGCCGGCCAUAGCAAGAACAAAGAGAGGAAAAGAAAAACAAGAAACCUAGGUGGGAAAAUUAAAGAAAAAGUAUGGGAUUUCAAGGAAUCAAGCAAUCAAAGGUAAAAUUUCUUGAUUUUGACUUGUGAUCUACCUUUCCCAUGCUUUUCUCCUUAUUUUCCAUGGUUAGAUUUCAUGUUUUCAUGGUGAAUUCAUGGCUGCCCAAAUGGGUAUGGAGAGAGAAUGUUGUUAGAUUGAUUUGAUUUUAAGUUAUGUUAGUGUUUUAAGUUAGUUUAGCAUAUUUAGAAACAAAACAACAAGAAAAGAAUUCAUUUUCCCCCAUUACCAUCAUUGGCUGAAUUUCCUAGGGAGAAUAUUGUGGCUGAAUUUGAUGAUAUUUCAUGAUAUUUUGGUGAUAUUUGAUGUUUGGUGAGGAUAGAAAUUAAAUGGGAAAUUUUGGUACGAAAAUACGAAUUUUUGCUCAACAUAUGGACAUGUGUAAUUAUUGACCCGGGAUCGAUAAAUUGAACCUCAUUCACAGUCACUAAGGUAAUUUAGGUAUAAUUGGAGUGUAGAAAGUGAAAAGAAUCGAUUUGGAGUUAAAUUGAAGAUUUUAGCCGAUUAGACCGAGAAUAGUGGGAAUUAGGUCGAAUAUUGUAUUUAAACGGCUAUUCGGACAUUUCUUUUUGCAUUCCAUAUCAUGCAUUAGUAGCCUAAAUUAGUUUAAUUUCAAUUUAGUAUCAAUGUGGUGAAUUUCUCAAUUUUGUAUUGUGUCAAGGUGGUGAGUUCUCCGAUAAAGGCAAGGAAAUUGCAUCCGAGGACUAGUAGACAGAGUACUUCGAAAGUCUGCAUUCUAGACAUUGUGAGUAAACUUACUGUCAUUUUAAUUAUCUAGGGUGGUUUUUAUAUGAUAUCAUGAAUUCUAUGGAAAAAUGGAUUUUUAAAAGGUAAAUUUUCAUGUUUUAUGAAUAAAAGUUUUCUAAUGAAAUUAAUUUAUAAAUUGUUUUGAAAUUAAUAAUGAUUUUGAAAAAUAGAGUACACGGAGACUGUUAAUUGUGGCAAUUUGAUUGUUUAAAUUGAUGGCUUAUGUUAUAUUGGUAUUGUGUUGGCAUGAUUGGCUGUGUUGUGUUUUAUGAAUUAUAUGAAUUGUUUUAUUUUACCCUUGCAGGCUGGGUAGUAUUUCAUUAGCCCUGUCAUACCGUCAAAAUUUUAUUAUAUGGUGGAUUAUAUAUUAAUUAAUCAUUGCAGUAGGGAGUUUCUGUGGACUAGCUUUUUAGAGGGGCAUAGUAAACCCUAUUAUAUUCUUACCUCGAACGGAGAGGCGUGUAGGGUAUCUCUUGAGGUAAAGCUUAGGGUUCACUUCACUCCAAACUACCAUGUGAGGGGAAACUCAGCCAACUCCAAGGAACGACUAUGUUUUCAAAACAAAAACAUGAUUUAUGUGAAAUGUGAAUUUUUAAUAGCCUUGGUGGUCUUGGUAGGAUGCCUCGGCCAAGGUGUCUCCGAGAAUGGAUUUAUGGCACAAACCUAGUUUUUAUGAGAUUCAUAAGCCUCUUCACGUAUUUUAAAUGAAAUGUAUUCUAAUGCUGUGAGCCAAUUUACGAUGAUUUACUUUAUUGUUUUCAUGUACUCAACUAUAGAUGUUUAUGAUGAUGUCUGUUUACUCACUGGGAUUUUAUAAUCUCACCACCCUCAUUUCCAUCCAUUUCAGGUUCAAUAGACUGUAGAUAGCUGAUCUCAUCGAGGACUAUCAUUGGAUCUGUAUUUUUCAAAUUGUAGGUUCACAAUCCUCUUUACUUUUGUUUAUUCGGGGGCCCUCUUGUUAUUGCAAAUUAAAUUAAAUAUUUUGGCUUAUUGUAUUUCAGUAUGUAUAAAUUUAUUUAGCUUUUACACUACAAAAAAUUAUUUACGUAUGACUCGAAAAAUAUUAUUUUAAGUUGGAAAUGAGAAGUUAAUAUUAAAGCCUUGCGGGGUCCCGGUUGACAUUCCGGAUAAUGAGUGUCAAUCGGGAUACCGCGAUGGUUGUCACGGGCUCGAGGGGAGUACCAGGUUGUGACAAAGGGUAUCAAAAUUAGUUUGUUUGUGUAUUCCUAAAGAAACAACCAAAGGAAAAAAACGCAUUAAGACCUCAAUGGACGGUAUCAACACUCCACUCAAGAAGAGUUAGAUUUCCAAAAAAUAAAAAUUAAAGUAUCAAGAGCAAGAGCAUCAAAUAUUGAGACAACUUCUUAG
rnacentral:lncRNA from 1 species